rnacentral:rRNA from 1 species
GAUCAUGGCUCAGAGUGAACGCUGGCGGCGUGCCUAAUACAUGCAAGUCGAACGGAGAUUAAAUAGCUUGCUAUUUAAUCUUAGUGGCGCACGGGUGAGUAAUAUAUAGUUAAUCUGCCCCAUAGUGGAGGACAACAGUUAGAAAUGACUGCUAAUACUCCAUACUCCUUCUUAUCAUAAGUUAAGUCGGGAAAGUUUUUCGCUAUGGGAUGAGACUAUAUCGUAUCAG